AAUCAACGCUGGCGGCGUGCCUAACACAUGCAAGUCGAACGCGACUGGGGACUUCGGUUCCCAGUUGAGUGGCGAACGGGUGAGUAACACGUGGGUGACCUGCCCUCAGCUCUGGGAUAAGCCUGGGAAACUGGGUCUAAUACUGGAUAUGACUCCACGGUGCAUGUCGUGGGGUGGAAAGCCUUGUGCGGCUGAGGAUGGGCCCGCGGCCUAUCAGCUUGUUGGNGGGGUGAUGGCCUACCAAGGCGACGACGGGUAGCCGGCCUGAGAGGGCGACCGGCCACACUGGGACUGAGACACGGCCCAGACUCCUACGGGAGGCAGCAGUGGGGAAUCUUGCGCAAUGGGCGAAAGCCUGACGCAGCGACGCCGCGUGAGGGAUGACGG
rnacentral:rRNA from 1 species